AACGCUAGCUACAGGCUUAACACAUGCAAGUCGAGGGGCAUCAGGGUAGCAAUACCGCUGGCGACCGGCGCACGGGUGAGUAACACGUAUCCAACCUACCGUUAACUCGGGGAUAGCCUUUCGAAAGAAAGAUUAAUACCCGAUAGUAUAUUUUCUUCGCAUGUUGAAAAUAUUAAAGAAUUUCGGUUAUCGAUGGGGAUGCGUUCCAUUAGGCAGUUGGCGGGGUAACGGCCCACCAAACCUACGAUGGAUAGGGGUUCUGAGAGGAAGGUCCCCCACAUUGGAACUGAGACACGGUCCAAACUCCUACGGGAGGCAGCAGUGAGGAAUAUUGGUCAAUGGACGAAGGUCUGAACCAGCCAAGUAGCGUGAAGGAUGACUGCCCUAUGGGUUGUAAACUUCUUUUAUAUGGGAAUAAAGCUCUCCACGUGUGGAGUUUUGUAUGUACCAUUAUGAAUAAGCAUCGGCUAACUCCGUGCCAGCAGCCGCGGUAAUACGGAGGAUGCGAGCGUUAUCCGGAUUUAUUGGGUUUAAAGGGAGCGUAGGUGGACUGGUAAGUCAGUUGUGAAAGUUUGCGGCUCAACCGUAAAAUUGCAGUUGAUACUGUCAGUCUUGAGUACAGUAGAGGUGGGCGGAAUUCGUGGUGUAGCGGUGAAAUGCUUAGAUAUCACGAAGAACUCCGAUUG
rnacentral:rRNA from 1 species